rnacentral:lncRNA from 1 species
CUUAAAUAUACUGGACACCAUUAGUCCACAAUCAUCCAAAUGAUUAAAAUAAAAACCUAAUAUUUCUCACUCUCCAAGACUUUGAGGCAAAAUGCGAACAAGGAAAGUGACAUUUGUAGGUUUCAUUUGAUUUUUUUUUUUACCUUCUAAAUUACAGUCUCAAAAUGAAAUUGCUAUCACUGACCUUUGUAGAAAAGAUACAGUUACAAUGAAGCAAAAAGGAAAUACUAGAUUUAACUUCCAUCUACCCUGGCUUCAAUCGCUAUGCUAUCCAACAGUGUCUGUGAAUUAGAUAUCAAAUUGAUUUAUGCCAAAAAAGUGUUACAAAUCCAGCGAUUUAAAAUUGAACAAAAGAUUUGUUUUCUCUUUACUAUGUGCCUCGGUCGGAUUCCCAGUUCAGAUCUAGCUCUUUCCAAGCCCUUGUUAAAGUGCCUAAUUUUACUAACCCCAUCCGUUUUUCUUCCUGUUCUGUUAUAGAGCACCCUAACCUCAUUUCAGUCUCAUACAUCUAAAGAGCAAAACUACUGACAUAUGAUUAAAUAAAGGGUCUUAUACAUCAAGUGGUAUGCAGCCUCUUCAAAUUCGUAAGCAGAAUAUGUGCUACUUUGGGUUACCUCCCAAAACCCUCAUAGGUACUUUAUAGAAAUAAGAAAUUAAGAAUAAAAAUGAUGUAAUUAAGUCCUAGGCAGGUAGUGUUUACUAGUAAACUAAUAACAUGAAGAAGAUUAAAAUGAAACAAAACAAACACCUGUUUCAUCAAACGACCUCAACACACACAGACACAUACACAGAGACAUACAUACACACGCACAGGACUCUAUCUUUUCACAAAUAGAAAUUAAAAUAAAACUUCAUCAUGAAAAUUUUAAAAGGGGAACAUGUCAGCAUCAAGUACAGAAAAUGAUCCUCAGUAAUGAGUACUAGAAAGUGUUGGCAUGAUGAAAACUAUUGUCCACUGACCAUGGGAAUAUUGUGGUGGCCUGGGGGGAGGAAGGAGAAAAGCCAGAGCAGGCUGAAAAACUACAGGUUAAUUAUUUAGGAAAAAAGCCCCCUUUUCUUAUAAAGCACCAAGGAAAAUUUUAAAUGGGUUACAGGUAACACUUGAAAAGAAAAAUAAUUUGACCACCUAGUUUUAAUUUGACAGAUUCUACAUACUUGCUGGUUGGUGAUGAAAUAUGAUCUAGAAUUAAUUUUUCCCUGAGGUUAUGUAUGUACUGAAUCCACAGUGCAUAAUAUUUAUUUUAGUGUCUUGUUUCUAAAUUCCUGCUGUGGUGCAACGGGAUUGGCAGCGUCUUGGAAGUGCUGGGACCAGGUCCAAUCCUGGCCCCACACAGUGGGUUAAAUACCUGGCAUUGCUACAGCUACAGCUGAGGUUGCAACUGCAGCUCGGAUCUGAUCCCUGGCCC